UCUUCAAGAAAAUUGAGAGAAGAAGGAAGAGGAAAACCAAAGGAAAACAAAGAAGAGAAAUCGGACAAGGAGGGGAAAAAUUCACUCCUUGAAAUUUCAUCUCUAAAAUUAUAAUUUCUUGGUAUUUCCACUAAAUCAAGGGUCCUCUAUAACAUGGUAAAUUUAUUUUGGAAGAUAGAAGGCUUGUUUGGUUGAUUUGAAGCUUUGGUAAAGUGAAGAAGUUGGAAGGAAAAGGGGAGAUGCUGCCGAAAUUUUUGUAGACAAGUAUUGGAAAAAUUGAAUUCUUAAAGUCUUAUGAAUAGUAAUUGGUAAAUGUGACCAAUUGUAGAUUUUGGAGGAAACGGAAAUUGAACUUGGACAACCGUAGAAGGCCAAAAAGGUACCGAAGUUCGAUUUGUUGAUCCACCUGUUUAGGACAUCUGCUGUGUUAUUGACAGUGCUCUCUUGUUCGGAGCUUGUAUUUUGGUACUGACUUUAUCUCUGUAUAUUUGAAUAUGUUGGUCAGGGGUACGACGGGGCCCUGUCCCGUCAUAUGGCUAUGCUAUCAUCUGUAGAGGUCUGUAGACAGAGUUAUGUUGUGGGUUUUGUAUAUAUGGUUUGGAUUUUUGUGUGUUC